rnacentral:rRNA from 1 species
AGAGUUUGAUCCUGGCUCAGGACGAACGCUGACGGCGUGCUUAACACAUGCAAGUCGAGCGGGGUCCAACCACUGGCAACAGUGGGGAAGACCUAGCGGCGAACGGGUGAGUAACACGUGAGGAACCUGCCCCAGAGACCGGGAUAACCCUCCGAAAGGAGAGCUAAUACCGGAUGUCCUUCUCGGAUCGCAUGAUCUGACGAGGAAAUGGAUUCCGCUCUGGGAGGGCCUCGCGGCCUAUCAGCUUGUUGGUGAGGUAACGGCUCACCAAGGCAUCGACGGGUAGCUGGUCUGAGAGGACGAUCAGCCACACUGGGACUGAGACACGGCCCAGACUCCUACGGGAGGCAGCAGUGGGGAAUCUUGCGCAAUGGGCGAAAGCCUGACGCAGCAACGCCGCGUGGGGGAUGAAGGCUUUCGGGUUGUAAACCCCUUUCAGCAGGGACGAUUAUGACGGUACCUGCAGAAGAAGGACCGGCCAACUACGUGCCAGCAGCCGCGGUAAUACGUAGGGUCCAAGCGUUGUCCGGAUUUAUUGGGCGUAAAGAGCUCGUAGGCGGCUCAGUAAGUCGGAUGUGAAAACUCGGGGCUCAACCCCGAGACGCCAUCCGAUACUGCUGUGGCUUGAGUCUGGUAGGGGAACACGGAAUUCCUGGUGUAGCGGUGAAAUGCGCAGAUAUCAGGAGGAACACCGAUGGCGAAGGCAGUGUUCUGGGCCAGUACUGACGCUGAGGAGCGAAAGCGUGGGUAGCAAACAGGAUUAGAUACCCUAGUAGUCC